CCAGACUCCUACGGGAGGCAGCAGUGGGGAAUAUUGGGCAAUGGGCGCAAGCCUGACCCAGCAACGCCGCGUGAAGGAAGAAGGCUUUCGGGUUGUAAACUUCUUUUAAGAGGGAAGAGCAGAAGACGGUACCUCUUGAAUAAGCCACGGCUAACUACGUGCCAGCAGCCGCGGUAAUACGUAGGGGGCAAGCGUUAUCCGGAUUUACUGGGUGUAAAGGGAGCGUAGACGGCAGUGCAAGUCCGGAGUGAAAGCCCGGGGCUCAACCCUGGGACUGCUCUGGAAACUGUAAAGCUGGAGUGCGGGAGGGGCAGGCGGAAUUCCUGGUGUAGCGGUGAAAUGCGUAGAUAUCAGGAGGAACACCGGCGGCGAAGGCGGCCUGCUGGACCGUAACUGACGUUGAGGCUCGAAAGCGUGGGGAGCAAACAGGAUUAGAUACCCCGGUAC
rnacentral:rRNA from 1 species